rnacentral:rRNA from 1 species
GACGAACGCUGGCGGCGUGCUUAACACAUGCAAGUCGAACGGAAAGGCCCUGCUUUUGUGGGGUGCUCGAGUGGCGAACGGGUGAGUAACACGUGAGUAACCUGCCCUUGACUUUGGGAUAACUUCAGGAAACUGGGGCUAAUACCGGAUAGGAGCUCCUGCUGCAUGGUGGGGGUUGGAAGGUUUCGGCGGUUGGGGAUGGACUCGCGGCUUAUCAGCUUGUUGGUGGGGUAGUGGCUUACCAAGGCUUUGACGGGUAGCCGGCCUGAGAGGGUGACCGGCCACAUUGGGCCUGAGAUACGGCACAGACUCCUACGGGAGGCAGCAGUGGGGAAGAUUGCACAAUGGGCGGAAGCCUGAUGCAGCAACGCCGCGUGCGGGAUGACGGCCUUCGGGUUGUAAACCGCUUUCGCCUGUGACGAAGCGUGAGUGACGGUAAUGGGUAAAGAAGCACCGGCUAACUACGUG